CUUUCUUUCUUAAUGUUAUAUAAAAUAAUGAUGUAUGUAAUUGAUAGAUCUUAAAUUCAUUGUAAUAUGGUAAUGAUGACCAUCAUUUAAUGCAUUUCUUCUAGACACUGAGCUAGAAACCCUAUAUUAUAGGUUCUUUGCAUAUGUUAGGAAUUUCUAAGUUGAUGAUUAGGUACCAAACCUCACCGCACUCCCAGUUUUCAGGAUUCUUAGCAGAUAGGAGAGUUGUCUUAGUUUCAUACUUUAUGGUUAGUAGAGUUUCCUGUAUUGUGCUUUUCGAAUGUAGAAGAAAUUGGGGUUUGUAUGUCACGGAAGACAAGCCUGGCAAUCCCCUUUGGCUUCUGCUUCCGAUCAUCUGUUACAGCCUUGAACACCCUAUGGAGCAGUUCUACUCUGCAUGCAUGGGUUCGCCAUGAGUUGACGUGGACUUGAAGGCAACAGACAAGAAAAAUGGUGGUAGCUGCCUUAUCCUACCCUGUGUAACAGCCUGACAAGCUUAAACCGCAGAAAAACAGUCUUAGCAUUUCUUAUCUAGUUUGUUGCCAUAAUCAGAUGCCCAAGACUGCCACAUUUUUUCUUUUAACAUGUCUUCAGCAUACAAUGCAGUGGAUUAGAGAAAUUAAAGGAAAUAUAUUAGGCCCAUUUUAAAAAAUAGAACACAUUUUAAAUUCUUAAUUAGAAAUGUUGAAUGUAUAUUCAGUUAUUUAUUGUGAAAAUCACUAAUAUUACCAAAUACACUAUUUACUUUUUACAGCAACAAGCUUUAGAACUAGCUUUGGAUCGUGCAGAGUAUGUCAUUGAAAGUGCCCGACAGAGACCUCCUAAAAGGAAAUACUUAUCUGGUGGAAGAAGAUCUGUAUUUCAAAAACUUUAUGACUUAUAUAUUGAAGAAUGUGAAAAAGAGCCAGAGGUUAAGCAGAAAUUAAGAAGAAAUGUGAACUUGUUAGAGAAGCUUGUUAUGCAAGAGACAUUGUCAUGUCUAGUGGUUAACCUAUACCCAGGAAAUGAGGGAUAUUCUCUGAUGCUCAGGGGAAAAAACGGAUCAGAUUCUGAGACCAUUCGAUUGCCUUAUGAAGAAGGGGAAUUGCUUGAAUACUUGGAUGCAGAAGAAUUACCUCCUAUUUUGGUUGAUCUCCUGGAAAAAGCUCAGGUUAAUAUUUUUCAUUGUGGCUGUGUCAUAGCAGAAAUACGUGACUACAGGCAGUCCAGUAAUAUGAAAUCUCCUGGUUACCAAAGUAGGCAUAUUCUUUUACGUCCAACAAUGCAGACUUUGAUCUGUGACGUACAUUCAAUAACAAGUGAUAACCAUAAAUGGACCCAGGAAGACAAACUGUUGCUUGAGAGCCAACUGAUCUUGGCUACAGCUGAACCACUGUGUCUUGACCCUUCUGUAGCAGUAGCCUGCACUGUUAACAGACUGCUCUAUAACAAGCAGAAGAUGAACACACGCCCAUUGAAACGGUGUUUCAAGAGGUAUUCUAGGUCUUCUCUCAAUCGGCAGCAGGAUCUGUCUCAUUGCCCACCUCCUCCUCAGCUAAAAUUACUUGAUUUCUUACAAAAAAGAAAAGAAAGAAAAGCAGGUCAGCAUUAUGACCUCAAAAUCUCUAAAGCAGGAAAUUGUGUAGAUAUGUGGAAACAGAGUCCCUGUAAUUUGGCCAUACCUUCUGAAGUGGAUGUAGAGAAAUAUGCUAAAGUGGAAAAGUCUAUCAAAUCUGAUGAUUCACAACCGACAGUGUGGCCAGCCCACGAGGUAAAAGAUGAUUAUGUAUUUGAAUGUGAAGCUGGUAAUCAGUAUCAGAAGACAAAGCUGACCAUUGUGCAGUCACUUGGGGACCCGCUUUACUAUGGUAAAGUACAGCCGUGUAAAGACGAAGAUGGUGGCGGUCAGGCGUCUCCGUCCCACUUCUCUGCAGAUGAUCAUUCAAAUUGGUUCAUUAUUGGAUCAAAAACUGACGCUCAGAGGGUAGUCAAUCAGUACCAGGAAUUGGUCCAAAAUGAAGCCAAAUGUCCAGUCAGGAUGUCACACAGCUCCAGUGGCUCAGCCAGUCUGAGUCAGCACUCUCCAGGCAAAGAAACAGAACAGCCUGAGACGGUGUCAGUUCAGUCUUCAGUACUGGGAAAAGGAGUAAAGCAUCGGCCGCCACCCAUCAAACUUCCCUCAAGCUCAGGAAAUAGUUCCUCAGGUAACUAUUUUACCGCACAGCAGGCGAGCAGCUUUCUUAAAUCUCCAACUCCUCCCCCUGCUUCUAAGCCCCCAAGUCUGUCUCGGAAGUCAUCUGUGGAUCUCAGUCAAGUUAGCAUGCUUUCUCCAGCGGCCUUGUCACCUGCCAGCUCAUCACAAAGAACCACAGCCACCCAAGUCAUGGCAAACUCCCCUGGACUUAACUUCAUCAACGUGUUGGGCUCCGUUUGUGGAGCCCAGGCUUUGAUGAGUGGUUCAAACCCCAUGCUAGGCUGUAACACUGGUGCCGUCACUCCUGCAGGAAUCAAUCUGAGUGGCCUUCUUCCCUCAGGAGGUCUGCUACCAAAUGCACUGCCAGGCGCACUGCCAGCUUCUCAAGCAGGUGUUCCAUUUGGUUUAAAAAAUACUUCAAGUCUCAGGCCCUUAAAUCUACUCCAGCUUUCCGGUGGCUCCCUCAUUUUUAACCCUCUGCAACAGCAGCAGCUCUCUCAGUUUACUCCACAACAACCACCUCAGCAGCCCACCACUUCUAGUCCUCAACAGCCAGGGGAGCAGGGUUCUGACCAAGGCUCGGCCAGUCAGGAGCAGGCCUUAUCUGCUCAGCAAGCUGCUGUUGUUAACCUUGCUGGAGUAGGGAGUUUCAUGCAGUCCCAGGCAGCUGGUAGGUUCUUCAUGGCUUUGUACGCUGAAUUCACCAAAAGUAUCUAAUCUAUGUACAGUCUCACCAUUUUAAUUAUUUUUUCCUUCCCAGGUAAACAAUAACUAUGAAAAAGUAGUCUUUAUCACCUAUUAAAUUGAUUGAUGGCUGUCGAGGUUUUUUCAUUAAUUUCUUUGGCUGUUGAUGAAUUAAAAGAGCUUUGGCUUAAACAUACUGACAGCACGUACGGCCUUCCCUCAGGUUACUGUUCACUAUAAUCCAGCUUCCUAGGAGACCCUGCCAGAACCGGGGUCACUGUUUGCCAGUGUGGUUAUCUCAGUAACUUAGUAACUCUCUGGCUUUCCAGGGUUAUGGAGGCUGUAUUUUUCCAGACCGCAUCAUCUGAUAGCCUGAGUUGCAUGAAAUAAAUCUUAAUGAUUAAUAGCCUAACUUCUGGCAGCCACUUUUAUCAUUUGCCAGAAUGAAAUUGAACUGAAUGACUGUUCACCACUUGGGGUAAUCAAUGGUGAAACAAAGGUUUAUCUUUAAUGAAGACUAUCUUGUCAGUUAAAGACAGUAAUUCUGACUUUACACUAAUUAAAAUCAGCAAGCCCACAUGUAUAAGAAAGCUAAGCAGUGGUGGAGUGUGAGGAUUGAAUGAGUGAACAUGUUGUCAGCGUUAUUACUGUGGGCUUAAUAAGACACCUUUCGGUUAGCAGCUGAGCGCUUAACCACUGCUCCAUCAGGGUUCCUUUAAGAUACCUUUAGAUUCCUACAGUUCCCAGUUUCUGAAUUUAGAAGUCCUUUAGGGCAGAAUAAUAAAAAAGUCUUUAUUUUGGAAAUAAGUAAUUCUCACAUAGAUCCUAACUUAAAGCUAGUGAACUUCCAAGUGGAAAUCUAUAAUUACAUACCUUUACCACACAAGUUAUAAAUUGCCUAAAAUAGCUGUCAUUUAGUGGAAAGAACUCUAACGCUGGAAAAUGAUGAGAAUGUUCCUAGCUCAAGACCUGCCAGUAAUUACCUGGAUGACUAAUUGCGAUUCUUGCAGCAUCAGAUGGCUGUGGCGGCGGCGGCGGCACAAAGAGCUCAGCUACGUCGGCAUCGCCAUCCAGGCAGCCAGUCAGGAAGUAAGGUGAAGA